ACUUUUUUUUUAUUUAAUUUUCAGAAAUGGCUGCGGCGUAUGUUGUGCUUAGGAUAUUGUUGUGAAAAUUUUAAAUAGACCCAAUUAUCAAAAUGGGUACUUUUACAAAAUUCGUUUCGGACUAUUGUAAGGCAUGGGAAAAGUUGGGACGUGAACAAUUCUUAAAAUCAAUGACACAGUUUAUAAAAGAUGAAACAAAGAGUCCUUUAUUUUCCAAAUCUGACAAACUAUCAGGAUUGUCUCAAAAUAUAUAUGAUUUGCUACUUUGUGGUCUACGAGGACUUCUUAAAAAAGAUUCUGUUGUAUCAGUUUUAAAAGACUUAAUUGUUUUGCAUGCAGACAUACCAUCAAUACUACUGGAUGUAGUAUGCAUACUAGAUGCAGAGACAUCACUGGAUGUACAGAGUGAAGAAAGAAAUAAUUUUUGUUAUUUAGUAAGAGAACUAGAAUCUUUUAUAUCUGACAAACUUUUAAAAGAACGCUUAGAGAUUGAUACACUACAAGAUGUUGGUACACUAAAGAACAAGAAUUUCUAUACAAAGUUUAUAAAAAUAAAAACUAAGUUAUAUUAUAAACAGCGUAAGUUUAAUUUAUUUAGAGAAGAAAGUGAAGGUUACUCAAAGCUGAUAGUUGAGUUAAAUCAAGAAAUAUCUGAAAAUAUGGAAUGGAAGACUCUUCUGGAAAUCAUUCAGUCUCUUAUAGGUUGCUUCAAUUUGGACCCAAACAGAGUCCUUGAUAUCAUAUUGGAGUCAUUUGAGGCUCGUCCACAUUUAGAUAAGUUAUUUAUUUCACUUAUAAAGAAUUACAUGGCAGACGCUCAAGUAAUCAGUGAAGUUUUGGGUUUUAAACUUGGCAACAUGGAAGUUUUAGAAAGUUAUAGCGAACCACCUGCUUUGAUGACUAUCAUAGCAUUACUUUUACAGCAUCAAGUCAUAACUCUUGAUGACAUUUACCCUUGGUUACGUCCAGAUGACACUAUUAUGGCUAAAGAAGCUGAUAAAGAACACAAGGCUGUUCAAGAUUUUAUACGUAAAAUCAAUAUAGUGUCAACCAAAGGCCCUCAAAGCAAUGCACCUGCUGAAUUCAUCGAAGAAAAAGCUGAUCCACAGGAGUAUUGGAGUAAUCAAAAGUUGGUGCUUUGUGAAGCACUUUUAAAAGUGACAGCUUGGAAGGAAUUUGCAGCGUUGACUGCCCGAUUGCCAUUUGCACAUGUUGCACCACGACCUGCGGUGGCUCUUUGCAACAUGUUACAUGCAUUGGUGGAACCACUGUACAGAAAGCAUUGUCGCAUUGCUCCCAAAAUAAUAGGCAAGCCAAUACCUCCAUUGAAAUCGCCGCUGGCACCAAAAGCCUGCAGGACGUUUGAGAGCAUGAAAGAGACUGUUAUACCUGCAAUUGUACUCCUUGGUUCUUCACUUCACCAUGAUGCCAUCUUAAUGUAUAAGAUAAUUCGUAUACUAAGAACAGCAAGAUCUAUUGACGGCGAUCCUCUAUAUUAUGAAGCGAUAACUGUUUUAGACACAGCUAUUCUGCCCGCCCUCACAUUGAUGGAAGGCAAUUGUUGCAUGGCAGAGGAAGUGUACACUUUACUUAAGUUAUAUCCUUAUCAAUGCAGAUACUGCAUUUAUGCUCGCUGGAAAAAUGAGUCCGGCGAACGUAUACCAGCUCUGAUGCGUGUGAGGGGCAACUCGCUGCAACGCAUCAAGCACAUAAUGAAGCGUGUGUCCAAGGAGAACAUCAAGCCCCAGGGCCGUCUUAUUGGCAAGCUGUCACAUGCUGCACCAGCUUUUCUUUUCGACUACAUGCUUUUGCAGAUUCAAUCGUACGACAACCUAAUAGGGCCAGUAGUGGAAUCCCUAAAGUAUUUAACAUCGCUAUCGCUGGACGUGCUCGGCUACUGCCUUGUUGAAGCGCUGGCCUCGCGCCGCGGCAUCGCUUUUGGCGCGGCGCAUUCUCAAGCGCUGCAAGCGCUCGCCGCUUUCUCCGCCGCUGCAUUCAAGAAGCAUAACAUUGAACUUACUGCGCUGCUACAGUUUGUUGCUAACAGGCUUAAAGCGCAGCAGAGUCAAGAUUUGCUAAUUUUGAAAGAAAUAGUCCAAAAAAUGGCGGGAAUAGAAGCUGCUGAGGAGAUGACACCUGAACAAUUAGAUGCCAUGGCCGGAGGAGAACUACUAAAAGGAGAGGCGGGCUACUUUUCCCAAGUACGCAACACAAGGCGAUCAUCUGCAAGGUUAAAAGAGGCAAUAGUUGGCAACAACUUGGAUAUUGCGCUAUGCAUAUUAUCUGCUCAACAGCGCCACUGUUGUGUUUGGAAAGAAUACGCCGAAGACAGUGCCAGUAGUAGUGAGCCACCAGGGUCGCAGCUGAAGGUGGUGGGGCGCCUCGCGGACCAGUGCCAGGACGCUCUGGUACAGCUGGGCACCUUCCUCGCCUCCUCGCAUGCGCCUGAGGAAUAUGCUGCCAGGUUGCCCAGCCUACAGGAACUACUUCGAGAUUAUCACGUAGAUGCUGAUGUGGCGUUCUUCCUUUAUCGUCCAGUAUUGACUCAUAAGAUAGCGGGGAAAGCUGAAGUGUUGAGGAAAUCUGACAGCAAAACUGAAGCAUUUGAAAAGAGUAUUGAAAGAUAUAAUAUUGCGUCCAAAGAAGCGUUAGAGCCAAUAGUGACUUCAAUAACGCCUCUUCUUCCCUCCAGAGUAUGGGAAGACAUUUCUCCAGAGUUCUAUGUAACAUUUUGGUCCUUAUCAAUGUACGAUCUCAAAGUGCCAGUGGAAAGCUACGAAAGAGAGGUAGACCGUCUUAGGGCUGCAGCGGCAAUUGCGGCCAAAGACACCUCGCAAGGGUCAAAAGGAAGGAAGGAGCAAGAACGAUUUAUUACCCUCGUUGAUAAGCUGCAGGAGGAACGUCGUCGUCAAGAGGAGCACGUGUCCCGAGUACGCGCGCGCCUGCAGCGCGAGUGCGCCGGCUGGUUCCCCGCGCGCGCCGCCAAGUCGGCCAAGAACGAAACGGUGACGCGCCUCAUGCAGCUGUGCCUGUUCCCACGCUGCAUCUUCACGUCGUCCGACGCGCUCUACUGCGCUGAGUUCGUGCAUACGGUGCACGCGCUCAAGACGCCCAACUUCUCCACGCUGCUGUGCUACGACAGGCUGUUCUGCGACAUUGCGUACUCCGUGAUGUCGUGCUCGGAGGGCGAGGCGGUGCGCUACGGACAGUUCCUGUGCCGCGUGCUGCGCACGGCCAUGCGCUGGCACGCCGACCGCGCCGCCUUCCACGCCGAGUGCGCGCACUACCCCGGCUUCGUCACCAAGUACCGCGUGUCCAACCAGUUCACGGAGGCCAACGACCACGUCGGAUAUGAGAAUUACCGCCACGUGUGCCACAAAUGGCACUACAAGAUCACCAAGGCGAUGGUGGUGUGCCUGGACUCGGGCGACUACGUGCAGAUCCGCAACGCGCUCAUCGUGCUCAACCGCGUGCUGCCGCACUUCCCCGUGCUCGCCAAGCUGGCGCAGAUCAUAGAGCGGAAGGUGGAGAAGGUGAAAGAGGAAGAAAAGCUCCAUCGUCAAGAUCUGUACGUGCUAGCGACCGGAUACAGCGGGCAACUGCGGAACAAGGGCCAGUUGAUGAAGGAAAGCGACUUCCAUCAGAUCGUCAACUUGCAGGUGGGCACAGUGGCGAAGGCGGCGGCGGGAGCGGUCGCGGGCGCGGGUGCGGGAGCGGUCGCGGUCGCGAGCACGGCGGCGGCUGCGGGCGCGGGACCGAGCGCGGCGCCGCGGGACGAGGUCAAGCGAGAGAGAGAGUCUACGUCGCCGCCGCACCCCGCGCAAUACUCAGACACAGAGAAAAGGGAAUCUAGGACGAGCGAUAGACGUCGAGAUGACUCCGAUCGCGAGAAGGAGUCUAAACGUGAAUCGAGAUCGUCAUUAAAAGAGCGUGCCAAAGAGGAAAUAAGAAGUAAAGAUAGGUCUCCCAGAGAAAGAUCACACAGAGAGGAACGUUACUUGGAGGCAGUUUCACCACCUCACGAACACCGCCAUUUGUCAGAUGAUAUUGAUCGUGAUGUGAAACGCCGUAAAGUAGAAACCAGCAGCAACGGCAAGGUGAGUAUCGUAGUGUAUAGCCGGGCCCGCCUCGCGCUCGCGCCGGACUGACGGGGGACUGGACUCGGCACGAGCCACCGCCGCCGCUUAAUACAAUCACAAUCUGUGCAAAGCCAAAGAGAAAAAAAAAUCACAAUCGCUAAAAAUAAAUCUAGUGCCCACAUAUAUGGACUGAGGACUUAAGACUUUUAAAACAGUGCUAAAGUAAAUGUGUGUAAAAAAAAAUUUAUUUAAAAUAAAACGCAGUUAUGAACUUUACAAAUUAAAUUAUAAUACCCAAAUAAACAACAUGUCAAAAUAAUUGAUGAAGAAAAUGUUGAGGAUGAUGGAAAUAAAAAUAUCUGAAGUGCAACGUGCCUUUCAGCGGAGCGAGAUAAAUAUUGCAUUGUAUAAAAUUGUUUCGUCUUGCAUGUAUGUGUUAGCAUAAAUUUUGUUUCGAUCCAUGAAUCUCUUAACAAAUGAAGAAGGAGAAGAAGAAUGCAUGCAAUUAAUCUCUUAUGGAAAAAUUGUUAACCUUGAAGAUUUAUUAAAGAACAAAAUGAUCCAUAUAAAGAGACGUCAUCCUGUCAAACUACUCAGGAAAUAGUUGCUGGAGAAUAAAUUAAAUCAAAUUCUGUAUAAAUAUUAAUAAUCAAAACCAAUGAAAUCAAAAACAAAUACCAACCAUAAAAAGGAAUUGAAAAUUGUGUAAGUUCAGUCAGCCCAGUCCUGUCGAGCACCGGGUAGUAAAGAAAUUGAAGAGCGAUCCCCCGAGAAAGAAAAAAGAAAGGCUAAACUGAGGGGUGAUGAAAGGAAAGAGCGUAAGAUGAGUCGCAAACGGGAUCGAGCUGAAGAAACUGCUUUAUUGGAGCAAAAAAGACGCC